CCCCCCCCGCCCCCACUUAUGAAGUCUUUAGGGGAGGAAAUGCUUCUCUGGUGGUGUUUCUUUCUGCCUCAUUGAUCAACAGAAUGAUCCCACCAAACAAUUUGCAGGUGUCCCUGUCUACCCAGAGGAAAACCAAGGUCACUUGCUGUGUCAUCUGGGGUGAGGUGAGGGGUAUGGGGCAGUGUUCUGAGAUACCCAUCCUGAGCUCCCAAACUAGUCACCUCAUGUCUUCCACCAUCACCUCCUGGCUGGAUUAGGACGGGUGUAACUCUCCCUCGUCUGCCCUGACUCUAUCCUCAUCUGUUCUUACCACCAAAAUUCCUGAAAAAAAGGACCCUAUAUUUGCUGAUGCGAUGUGUCCAAUGUGUUCAUUCUUCUCAUUAAAACUGGAAUUCGUCUUC